AUACUUCAUUCUUUAUAGGUGCAUAUUCUGCUAUAUACUUUUCAUUCCGUUACAUUACAAUUUAUAUAACAGGCCUUUAUUAGUUGAGGUGUUGAAGCUGGUUUUCCCUAGAAUAUCCCAUCAUUGUGAGAGUUGGCACAUUUACUUUCUUCAGCCACCAUUGAGGGGGCACUACUUCUAGCAACAGUAAUUGCAGAUACUUUCUUCAGUGAUGAUCAUUAGCACUUCUGGAUUGACCCAUUAUAUAUGCUAUCUUUCAUUAGGAAUGAGCAGUAAGCUCUGUAAAGGGGUUGGGUGGAGGAAAGGUGGGUAUUAAUCUGAAUGAUCAGAAACAGUUGACCUACAGGUGGAUCCUCUUUGCUUCCAAAUGCAGGUAGUGCUCAGACGUCAGCAUGAAGACAAGCCCAUCCCACCCCAGACUAUUUUGAAGAAUGGAUUUAGAAUGGAAAUAAUUCGAAAAAAAAUGCUUUCUAGACAAUACGGAGGAAUCGUUUUCCUUUCAGUACACUCAACAAUAACUAAGAUACAAUUGCGGAUUGUUGCUCCAAUCAGUAGAUCUGCUAAAGGAAGUAAGUUAUAAAAGCGCUGUAUGCCGCGUUGCCCCGCCCCGUCCUCCACCCCUCUCCACCCCUCCAUCCCCCACCUCCCUGGCCUCAAGGAGACACAAUAAGGACAAACUACAAAGACCAAAAUUCCGUUCGGUUUUCAACUUCCUCUCCCGCCAAGCUUAGAAGUGACACCCACCUUCACUAAUUUCCUUUGCUGGC
rnacentral:lncRNA from 1 species